CCUGUCUCCUCAUUCUUUUUUUUUUUUUUGAGACGGAAUCUCACUCUGUCACCCAGGCUGGAGUGCAGUGGUGUGGUCUCAGCUCACUGCCAGCUCCGCCUCCCGGGUUCAUGCCAUUCUCCUGCCUCAGCCUCCCAAGUAGCUGGGACUACAGGUGCCCACCAACACACCUGACUAAUUUUUUGUAUUUUUAGUACAGACGGGGUUUCACCGUGUUAGCCAGGAUGGUCUUGAUCUCCUGACCUCGUGAUCCACCCGCCUCAGCCUCCCAAAGUGUUGGGAUUACAGGUGUGAGCCACCGCACCCGGCUACCUGUCUCCUCAUUCUUAAAAGGUAAAGUUUCGAUGUAGCUGGAAGGGGUGUGAGGGGCAUUGUCAAGUCGCUCCUGUAAAGCUGCCAAAACUCCAGGAUUCUGCAUCACCUGAUCCGUGAGCUUUUCCGUCUUACUUGCAUUUUUAGCAGCUUCCACGAAAUCUGAAGGAACCCCAUCUGAAAAACUGUUAUCUGCCAUCUGAAUGUUUUUAUCCCCUUGUCUGGUAAACCAAGUCCCGUGAGUAACUAGGCUAAGGCACUCAGGCCAGUCCUCGGGGAGCACACGCCGCCCAUCUGGCUCGCACCGCACAGCUCCCAACAGCUGAGAUGCAAUGCCAAGGACUUUCUUCCCCAUCAGACAUGCCCUCGUCCACACGAAACUUACAAUCAAAACCCCAGUUAGCCCAGCCUGACCCCACAGAUGCUCACGAUGACCAUCGCCCUACGGAAAAACUCAAAUUCCUAAACAUCUAAUAAAGAGGUCCUGGACGUCUCCACCUUAAAAACGGGAAGCCUGAAUGCUCCUCCGGGUGCGCCGCGGCCCUCCGGGUACGCGGGGCUGGCUGGGCUAGCGGGAGAUUUGAGCUGCCAGCCCCCACUCGCCGCCCUCUACGCCUCCUCCGCUGGGCCGCCGGCGAGGAAGCCGCCCGCAGCGCAGAACAAAGCGACUUGACCUUCAGGGCAGUGGGCGGCAGGGCAGGGGCGCACCGGGUGCUGGGAGGGGCCGCUCCAGGCCCCAAGCCCCAGGCCCGCCGCGGCGGCGCUGCCCACCCUGACGAGGACGUCUACUUUUUCUUGAAAAAUGUCUUUCCUUUCCCAAAAGUGACUCUGCUUUGUCUGAAAAUAAUAUAACUUUAAUGGCUUUAAGUUAUUGUUUGAAAGGGUUCAGAAAAGACAAUAAAUGGGAGACUUAGAAUGGCUCACCAGUUAAAAUCCAAGUUUCAUAUAUUUCUUGUAUUUGCUAAUUUCCCUUAUCUGUUUCAGCUGCUUGUUCAGAAAAAUUUCAUUCAUAGACUCACCUUAUCCCAGCCCUAGAGACUCAUAUUCUCUAUUUGCCCUGGAAUCCUGUUCACUAUUUACAAUUAUAUUAUUCUGAAUAAUAGUAUUUACUAUUUUCGUCUCUUUUAUAUUUUAAUAAACCACUUUCAAGUCACUGACCUUUUUGUUUGUUAAACUGGGGAUAUAAUGUAAAAAACAGAUAAUAAAAAUUACAAAUGUAAAUAAUACUAAAACAACAUUAGAAAAUCAUAGCCAAGACAGAUUGUCAUGAUAUUAACUUAGUGUUAGGCCUAAGGAAACAUAUCAAAUGCAUGUUCCUGUAGUAGAUAUGUAACCUUUCAGAACAUAAUGAUAUUAUAACAAUAUUAUAAAGCAGCAUUGUGAAUAGUUAAAACCAUGGGCUCUAGAGCCAGAUAGCCUCUACUCAAAGCCAGGUUCUGCCACUUACUAGCUGUUACCUUGAGCAAACAACUUAAACUCUCUCUCUGUUGGUUUCUCACCAGGAAACAGGGAUAAGUACUAGUACACAACUUAUAGGUUGUAUGAGGAUUGAUGUGAAGAUUGAAUUAAUUAACAUAUGUAUUAGAAUGGUGCUCAACACAGAAAGUGCUAAAUAAUGUUAGCUUUGUAUCUAUAAUGGGGUUUCUGUUAAAAAUUGUAACUUGUUGGCCGGGCGCGGUGGCUCACGCCUGUAAUCCCAGCACUUUGGGAGGCCGAGGCGGGC
rnacentral:lncRNA from 10 species